rnacentral:rRNA from 1 species
UACGUAGGGUGCAAGCGUUGUCCGGAAUUAUUGGGCGUAAAGAGCUCGUAGGCGGUCUGUCGCGUCGGAUGUGAAAAUCCAGGGCUCAACCCUGGACCUGCAUUCGAUACGGGCAGACUAGAGUUCGGCAGGGGAGACUGGAAUUCCUGGUGUAGCGGUGAAAUGCGCAGAUAUCGUAAGGAAGACCAGUGGCGAAGGCGGGUCUCUGGACAGUUCCUGACGCUGAGGCACGAAGGUCAGGGGAGCAAACGGG